GCCCCCGGCCCGGCCGCGCUUCCGCCCGCGUCAGCUGAUCUGCCCGGCAGCGGCCCGGCCCGCGGAACCUCGGCGCGGGCGCCCGCAGCAUGGCAGGGGCCGUGGUGAGCGGAGCACAGGUGUCCUACAUUAGUCAGGACUGUGAAGAAAUUCCAGAAUUCCUAGGAAGAAAAUAUGGACACAUGGCAAAAAGGCUAGAUCUUAGCUUCAACUUGUUAAGUUCUUCUCAAAUCACUCCUGUGCUGCGUGACUGCUACCUUGGAUGACCCAGUGAUGGACAGUUGUGUUGGCUUCCACUUUAUUUCUACAAAUUCUUCUGUUCUGUGUGACUGCAAAAAUCUUUCCUCUGCUUCCAGGUAUCUUAUCUCACAUAAUAAUGUAGUACCUACCAACCAUAUGUUUCUACAGCAUAUAACUGUACUUUUGGUUUUUCUUUAAGUCAAUUGGACAGUUAUUGCUUUCAUUACAUCAGGGUAGAACUUCUUCACAAAUAUGUGUUAUUCGUUAUUGUGAGUCUGUUUUAGAUGGUGCAUUUUCUGUCUGCUUUCUGUGUCAGAAGAGUCAUACUUGAAAACUAGGGAGGGAAAAUUAAAAUUAACAUGUUGUUAUUCUCUCCUUUUUAAAGUGGAUAGGUCUAAUAUAAUAAAAAUGCAUGUUAUGGUCA
rnacentral:lncRNA from 1 species